GUCCCGUAACGACGCGCAACCCUUGUCCUUAGUUACCAGCACGGUUAUGGUGGGCACUCUAAGGAGACUGCCGGUGACAAACCGGAGGAAGGUGGGGAUGACGUCAAGUCAUCAUGGCCCUUACGGCCUGGGCUACACACGUGCUACAAUGGUCGGUACAAAGGGUUGCCAAGCCGCGAGGUGGAGCUAAUCCCAUAAAACCGAUCGUAGUCCGGAUCGCAGUCUGCAACUCGACUGCGUGAAGUCGGAAUCGCUAGUAAUCGUGAAUCAGAAUGUCACGGUGAAUACGUUCCCGGGCCUU
rnacentral:rRNA from 1 species